rnacentral:rRNA from 1 species
UACGGGGGGGGCAAGCGUUGUUCGGAAUUACUGGGCGUAAAGGGCUCGUAGGCGGCCAACUAAGUCGGACGUGAAAUCCCCAGGCUCAACCUGGGAACUGCGUCCGAGACUGAAAGGCUUGAAUCCGGGAGAGGGAUGUGGAAUUCCAGGUGUAGCGGUGAAAUGCGUAGAUAUCUGGAGGAACACCGGUGGCGAAGGCGGCAUCCUGGACCGGCAUUGACGCUGAGGCGCGAAAGCUAGGGGAGCAAACGGG